AUUGAACGCUGGCGGCAGGCCUAACACAUGCAAGUCGAACGAGUGGCGGACGGGUGAGUAAUGUCUGGGAAACUGCCCGAUGGAGGGGGAUAACUACUGGAAACGGUAGCUAAUAACGCAUACCAUCGGAUGUGCCCAGAUGGGCUUAGCUUGUAGGUGAGGUAACGGCUCACCUAGGCGACGAUCCCUAGCUGGUCUGAGAGGAUGACCAGGCACACUGGAACUUGGACAGGGUCCAGACUCUGACGGGAGGCAGCAGUGGGGAAUAUUGCACAAUGGGGGCAAGCCUGAUGCAGCCAUGCCGGGGGUAUGAAGAAGGCCUUCGGGUUGUAAAGUACUUGCAGCGGGGAGGCGUUACCCGCAGAAGAAGCACCGGCUAACUCCGUGCCAGCAGCCGCGGUAAUAC
rnacentral:rRNA from 1 species